UGGGGAAUAUUGCACAAUGGGCGCAAGCCUGAUGCAGCCAUGCCGCGUGUAUGAAGAAGGCCUUCGGGUUGUAAAGUACUUUCAGCGGGGAGGAAGGUGUUGUGGUUAAUAACCUCAGCAAUUGACGUUACCCGCAGAAGAAGCACCGGCUAACUCCGUGCCAGCAGCCGCGGUAAUACGGAGGGUGCAAGCGUUAAUCGGAAUUACUGGGCGUAAAGCGCACGCAGGCGGUCUGUCAAGGCGGAUGUGAAAUCCCCGGGCUCAACCUGGGAACUGCAUCCGAAACUGGCAGGCUUGAGUCUUGUAGAGGGGGGUAGAAUUCCAGGUGUAGCGGUGAAAUGCGUAGAGAUCUGGAGGAAUACCGGUGGCGAAGGCGGCCCCCUGGACAAAGACUGACGCUCAGGUGCGAAAGCGUGGGGAGCAAACA
rnacentral:rRNA from 1 species